GUAAUGAGAAACCGCUUAUAUUUUUUGAUAUAUGCAACUUAUGGCAGUAUAUGCAGGGCGCUAUGAAAGUGUACAGGAGAAAAGUCAAACCUCCAUCUGGAAUGCUGUCUAAUUUUGUGUGCCUAUCUUGUGGGUGACUUGGAUUUCUUAGAUGAAUGGGUAUUUGAAUUAAGGUUGUUAGAAUGACCUGUCAAUGGGGAGGUGAAGCAAAUAGGCUAUCUACAGGAAAAGAGGGUGCCCUAAGUAUUUUAAGCAGAAAAAAGAUGAGUAUAGGGAUUUAGGUGCUUAUGCAAUUGUUGGAAAGGCUAGAAGAAUGGGCUGAGCCUAAGCCUCUGGGAGUGAGUCACAGGAUUCCACCCAUUAUGGGAGCGACCAUUCUGUAAUAUUUGGGAGGUGGAAAUCAAAACGUUCACUGGGCCUAUUAACUUCAAAAACAAUACUGGGAUUUGGACCCAGGGGUCAGGAACCUGGGAUUAGAAAGCUUCUGCUGUGUCUAGCACUCUGCCACUCAACACUCAUGAAACUGGAAAGUAUGCUGGAAUGCAGAACUUCCGUAUCUGCACAGUGUUCUUCACUUGCAGGAAGGUAGCAGUCAAAGGCAGUUGGAAGAUGGUGCCCCCCUCACUUUCAUCUGCUCUUUGAAUGAUCGCACCUGACGGAUGAAGUCUCACAUGACACCCAGAAACCUACCUGGCAGAGAGUCUGGGAAAUGGGAUUUCCACUAUCCAGUUUUUGCUUAACGAAAAGACUCCAUAUCAAAAUGUCAUUUCCAAUGUUACGUCUAAGCCAGUUGCAUGACUCUUACAACUCCUAUGUGGAGGGUCUGAAAAAUGGAGUGGAGGAAGGAUUUUAAAGAGGAUUUAUCGGCAAGGAGCCGUGCUGUGAGUCUAUCUUUCUCCAUGGGGAGAGGAUGAUGAACGCAAUCCUAAGCCUAGCACAAGGGACUUACAGACAACACUCACUGAAUUUGUUAUGAAAUUAGCAUAUCGAGGAGACCAGUGUUUGGCUCUUGUCUGAGGAAUCAAACAAGCAUGAGAUCUGCUGCCUUGCUUUAGGUGGAUGGACUGCAGGAGGAUGCAUGACUCAUCAUCAAGGGAAUUUCAGAUGAGAAGUCUUCUAAUGGAGCUCUUUCUAAGAAUCCACAAAAUAGGUCUUGAGAGUGUCAUAAGAGAGUAUGGGACUGUUUUGUGACAGAACUACAUAGCCAACGAUUUUCCUGC
ensembl:lncRNA